rnacentral:rRNA from 1 species
ACGAACGCUGGCGGCAUGCCUAACACAUGCAAGUCGAACGAGACCUUCGGGUCUAGUGGUGCACGGGUGCGUAACGCGUGGGAACCUGCCCUUAGGUUCGGAAUAACUCCCCGAAAGGGGUGCUAAUACCGGAUAAUGUCUUCGGACCAAAGAUUUAUCGCCUUUGGAUGGGCCCGCGUUGGAUUAGCUAGUUGGUAGGGUAAAAGCCUACCAAGGCGACGAUCCAUAGCUGGUCUGAGAGGAUGAUCAGCCACACUGGGACUGAGACACGGCCCAGACUCCUACGGGAGGCAGCAGUGGGGAAUAUUGGACAAUGGGCGAAAGCCUGAUCCAGCAAUGCCGCGUGAGUGAUGAAGGCCUUAGGGUUGUAAAGCUCUUUUACCCGGGAUGAUAAUGACAGUACCGGGAGAAUAAGCUCCGGCUAACUCCGU